GUAAGUCAACCUAACCUUUUCCCGUUCCCGGGGAGUAACUAACCGAAAGGUUAAGCUAAUACCUGAUACGCUCAUCGAGCGGCAUCGCUUGAUGAUGAAAGCAGUAAUGCGCGGAUUGAGGGGGCUGCGGCCCAUUAGCUAGUUGGUGAGGUAACGGCCCACCAAGGCUUCGAUGGGUAGCUGGUCUGAGAGGACGACCAGCCACACUGGGACUGAGACACGGCCCAG
rnacentral:rRNA from 1 species